CACGUAGGGUACGAGCGUUGUCCGGAUUCAUUGGGCGUAAAGCGCGCGUAGGCGGCUCGGAAAGUCGGUCGUGAAAUGCCGGGGCUCAACCCCGGGACUGCGUCCGAUACUCCCGAGCUGGAGGCAGGUAGGGGAGAUCGGAAUUCCUGGUGUAGCGGUGAAAUGCGCAGAUAUCAGGAGGAACACCGGUGGCGAAGGCGGGAGCCUGGGCCAGUACUGACGCUGAGGAGCGAAAGCGUGGGGAGCAAACAGG
rnacentral:rRNA from 1 species